UUAUGUGUACCAUCGGGAAAGUACGGAAUGUUUUAUCAACGUGAUUUUGGCUGGUGGGAAUCAUACUAUGAGAAACCUAUGAUAUUUUUACCCGUUAAAAUUGAAAUUUUUUGUGAUACAAAUAGCACUUUAAGAGUUCAACUUCAAUGUUGUAAUGGAGCAAGAUUGCCGGUAUUUCAAGGUGCUUCGUUAUUUAAUGAGUGCUCUAUUCCUUUUGGAGAAAAUGCGGUGGUCCAGCUGAGUUCACUCACCGUUAUAUCAGGAAAUUUUUUUAAUCCAAAGUGUAUAACAUUAAAGAUUGAAAAGGCCUACAAUACAUCCUUACGUGACGCUUACGCAUUAAUGGCAAACAAGUUGGCACUCUUAGGGUUUUUUUUGAAAGGGUGUCGCGAGUUACAACGUUUGCAAGCGUUACGUCAUGAUGUUUCUGUAGUAGCUGCACUACCAUCCAAGUUGGUAAUCGCAUGGUUUCCGUGGAUGAUUAAAACGCCUUUUACUAACGCUUUACUCCCUCGAAAGUGGGAAACUUGUAAAUUUAUGGAGUUACCCCCUGUUAAUUUUUCUUGGAGCAUAGUUCCAACCGAGUCUCAUGCUUAUGCUGACUCUGUGGAAAUAUCCACUAGGGAUAUUUUUAUGACUAUCUCUAAUGCUUACCUAAAACCUGUACUUUUGCAAUCUAUCUCGACUUUGAAAUCCUUAUUAGAAUGCAGACACUUGGCUUCACCGUGGCUGGUAAUGCGCUAUAUUAUACUUUCCUUUGAAUUACAUGCAUCUGUAACACUUUUGGAAAGUGGCCGUCAAUCCGUAAUAUACAACAACCUUGAAGUGUUACCUCCUUUACAUAAGAGUUUAUUAGAGCCAGGAUAUUUAUUGUGGUGUCGUGGAAAAUCAACAGUUUUAGGAAAAGAAGAGCUUAUUUUAGAUGUCGAAAAGUUGGCGCAACGAAUACCAAAUCAAGGUACAGGAAUCGUGUCUGGAAUUCACUUAUACGUGGAGGUUAAUAUGAGUGAACAUACAUCAUCUGAGCACGCGCUUCACAUAGCAAGUCCUCUUGCUGUCCUUUUGUAUGCCAAAAUAACAGUGACCCAAGGGUUCCAAGCAGCAACAGAUGUUAUUAUUCAUUCGUUAAACGCAACAUUAAAUCAUUAUGCAUCAGCAUUUAGCGCCAUGAAGCAAGAGAGUGUUGUAUUACCAUUAAAUGAAACAUUGUCACCUGUUUUUUUUAAUUCAAUCGAUUCCGCUGGUCUUCAGCGAUUAAGUUCUAACGAAAAGUCUACUGAAAAUUUUGCAUACAUGACAGAUACCUAUAAAUCUAUUGUUCCUCCAGGCCGUUUAUUAACUUUGUUUUUACUACCGAUGAUGGAUGGUUUAGUUGUGUGGUUGAAUGCUCUUACUGCUACCUCGAGAAUCAAUCCUCGAAAUAAUGUGCUUCGUUCAGGAGUUCUGUGCUUUACUAAUUCUUCAAACAUUUCUAGCCCCUCAGUGCAACAUUCUUGCAAUAAAAAAGCUAGUGCUGUGCUCAAUUUAGGAAGUGUUCAAUGGCAGCAGGCAUCGAAUGGUCUCAUUGGAACGCCUCUUAGUAAAAAUGCAACGCAAAGCCCUGUAUUAGAUUCCUCACCACAUACAUCUUCGGGCACUUUAGAUAGAUCAUCUCAUGAUCAGCGUGUACGAACGCAUAUCAUAGAACUUUUGCUUGUACCCUCUUCAGGCUCUCUUUUGAAACCAAAUGGUUUUGUCAAUUAUCAUAAGGAUAGCGCUACGAUCAAUUCAUUAACAAACUCGGCGCCCGGUUCUUGCGAUUUUUUCCUUUACGAUGCACCCUUACUCUCCAACCAUAUUUCGUAUGCGUUUUGGGAAAUCAUUAGAUUACAUCAUACUCGUUUCGUAAAAAAACAAAUAAAGACAUCACAAUAUCUUGGAUUUCUAGAAUGGCAUUUAUGGUUUCGGGAAUUCAAUGUCAAUCUCAUGCCCCUCAUUCAUCUAAAGAACUUACGGAAUUUGGAUGAAACAGUGCAAGACGAGCUUGAUGGUUUGAUACCACCAUUCCACUAUUUUGAACAAAAAAUUUUACAACAUUGGCAAAAACAGCACAAUACAAAAGACAAUAUCCAACCCAUUAGUAUGACGGACAUGUCGCAAGUUCGCUAUCUUCUGCUUUUACAUUAUUUUGAUAUUUGUCCCGAUGCCUUAAUUCUACCCUAUGAAUGCUGUCACUUUUUUGAUCAAAAAGAAACUAAAAUCGAAAAUUCUUUCAAUUCGAAAAAACGCCAACCUUGCUUCUCCAACUCAUUCAAAAUGAAUAAACGCGUUUGUUCUUCGCCAUUAACAGAAGAGUUUCAAUCCAUUCAUCACGAUACAACCAUUUCUGAUAAGUUGGCUGAAAUUUGCGAUUCUAUGGAGUCUGGCAAAGGCUUAUGUUGUUUACGGGACUCACCUGAAAAAGAUUCAAAUAAUGAUGUACUAUUACUGCACUAUAAAAACGUUACUCAAAUUGAAAAACAACAUAAGGCUACUUUAGAAUUUGCUAAAAGUGUAACGUGGCUACCGCCAUUAAAACCCCAUUCAGCUUUUCGUGCAGACAACAAGGAGAUUGAAAUAACGUACAAUUGUUCCCUCGAGAUGAGGUCAAAUCCUUCCUCAACAGAGUGGUCUGUUAUUGCAAAUUACACUCGAAUUUUUUCCCACGAACUUUUUUGUGGAAAUUUUGAUUUAUUUUUAUGUUUUUUGCAAUCCAAUUGCAACAGCAAUUCAAUGAAUACAAUUACAUGUCUUUUAGAUAUAAGCAUUACAAAUGUUCAAAUUUAUCUUGAUGGAAUUAAACAAGUAACAGCAACCAUUGCCAACAGCGAAUCACGUACCCCAUCUUUCUCUAAUGAAAAUUUCUUACAAACUCUUCCGUUCUCUCAAUUUAUUUUUACUUCGUUCUUAGAUCAAACUCAUUUUGCUGAUGGUACGCAUUCUUCAAUGUUCCACACGCACAUUCUACUUUGGAAUUGUAUACCCUUACUUUUACCGUACAUCCAGUUAUUACAAAAGUUUUCCAAACCUCACGAUGAAUGUAAUGUGAACCUUGUAAACAAUGAAAAAGAAACGAUAUUUCAUGCUUCUUCUUUAAAUUUUGUUAUCUCUAUAUCUCGGUCGCCUGAAAGUUCUCAAAUUCUUAUUAAUAAUCGAUUUAGCUUAGACAAUAUUCUUGAAAUUUUAGUAAAUGAAACGUACAAAGCAGGCUUAGUUAUCCACCCAUUUUCUAAUGCACCUCUUUCCUUGCAUCGUCCACUGUCCAUGCAUCUUUCACACCUUUUUUUUUCAAAAUUUUCGUUUAAUAUAAUGAAAUACGUUCUAAACUCGUUAUCACCCGGAUUCUCGUCGGAAAUUUCAAAUAGUGAAGAAACAAUUUCUUAAAUAAAACGUGUAACAAAAAUUCAAUUGAUAUUAAUAUAUGCUACUGUAAUUUUCAACCCUUUUAGAAUUUAUUAAAAAAAUGGUACAUUUUAAACAUUGCAUCGAUUUUUUAAAAAUUUUCAAUCGUAACAUUAAAAUUCCUAUUAUACUAAAUACAUUGAUAUUUUAGUACACAAUAAUGAGAUGUGGCAUUUUUGUGCGUGCAUACAUAAAAACUAGCCUUCUUCGAUAAUUGGAAUACAUGGCGGUUUGAAUAAUUUUAUACAUUGAUUUCUAUAAUAAAAAUUUGAUCGGUUUAAAGUGUUCAUGGAUAAUUCAUUCAAUUACACAUAUAAACACCGUAUGAAUUUUUCUGUAUUAGUCUACGCACUUGCAUGGAUAGGUUUACUUUUUAGCGCCGUAAUAUUUUAUAUUCAUGAAUUUAAACAAGUUUUCGCUUACAUGGAGAUUAGCCCAAUUAAAAAUUUAUACAUCCCUGUAUCGUGUGAAUCUUCUUUUGAAAAUGAUGACCGCGUGGUUCACAUUUUUUUUGUAUUUUUAACUUGCAUUACUAGGAUUGUCCACUUCACAAAUUUCAUACAUUUUACCCCCCUGCAGAAUUUUCUCGUAAUGUCAAACCUUUUAAAGGUGUUUUUUUUGAUAUUAAAACUGAAAUGUAUCAAUGGGUAUGGAGGCCUUCGUUGUUUCGAUUUUUUUUUCAGGGCAAAUGGACUUCCAAUUUAGAAGAAUCGAAAAGAUAUCCUUUUUUUUUUAAAAAUACACACCCUAACCCUGAUUUUUUUCCUUAUAUUGCCAGUGUUGGGCGACACUUUGCCCCUCAAAUAGUGGCGGGUGACUUUAUUUUGUCUCGACGCCAUUUAGCAAAUUUUCGUGGCAAGCAGCAACUUCCUUUAGUGAACGACGAUUAUUAUAUUAAACCCGAAGAACGCCCAUGUACAAGUGUCUCUUAUAAAAAUACGCAUGUUUAUGAUAAUGCAUUGUAUACAGGAGAUCCUUUAAAACCUCAAAUUGGUGAUUUACGUAUAACAUUUUGGGGUAGUACAGCUAGUCAUGUUAGUGCGAUUGGAAAGCAAGUUCGUUACAAGACUCCUCUUGCAAUGAUUCAAAACCAAGUGGAGUUAAAAACGAUUAUAAACAAUACGAUGUUUCCAAGUCGUGGUAUACCCGAAUUAGUAUAUGAGGGAGAUCAUACGGUUGACUCUAUGUUCUAUACAUAUCUACGUAAUCGAACGAGCACGGGUCGCUUUGAAAGAUUUCUUAGUGGCGUCAUUUUCUUUAUUUUCAUGGUCUGGGUAAUGAUAUUGACUCGAGCUGGUUUGAAUACCUUCUCAAAAAGUUUUCAGUACGUGUGGUCUUCUUUAUGGCUCGACUCCAUGGUAUUGUGCUUGGGUAUCCUCUCCCUAACAUACCUUCCCUUUCAAUAUGUUUACAAUAAAUAUUCUGCACUUUGCUUGUUUUUCAUUUCCUUAUUACUAUUCAGUUUAGGUUUGACAUUAAGUAGGCGUGGAAUAUACGGUACAACACGCUCACACCAUGACUAUAACAGCAUCCAGUCUCAUAAAGCUCCACAUAGCACUGAGCUUGUCACUCUCGAUGAGGUCGGUCCUUACAUUUAUCAACCUGUGUAAGCCGUAAAGAA